CCCUUAGAUGUUCUGGGCUGCACGCGCGCUACAAUAAUACGCACAGCGAGUAUCACCGAGCUCGAAAGGGCAAGGUAAACAAUAGAAAAGGUACUGUAAUGGUUAUAGAUCCUUGUAAUUAUUGAUCUUCAACGAGGAAUUCCUAGUAAGUAUGUGUCAUCAUCACGCACUGAUUACGUCCCUGCCCUUUGUACACACCGCCCGUCGCUCCUACCGAUUGGGUGAGCCGAUGAAACUCUCGGAUGUAGGCUACUCAUAGCCCGCAGAAGAGAUUUGAAUCGUAGCGCUUAGAGGAAGGAGAAGUCGUAACA
rnacentral:rRNA from 1 species